rnacentral:lncRNA from 1 species
GGCAGACAGGCAGGCAGGCAGCCUGCCGGGAGUCCUGUUGAAGCAUGCACAGCGCACACCUCUACCCGCACCCACCACCAGGACCCCUCGCCAUCACCUCCUUGAACCGGGAGGAUCCAGAGCCCGGACCGGGGUUCCCAGGGGGACUCUGCUCACCUUGCCUCAACUCAUACCUGGAAGAAGAAAAUAAAAGAACACUGUGUGAAAGGCAAGAUAAAUCGGUGGGCGAAGUUAACCCGAUCACACCAGCAUCGCCUAUUUGAGACUCGCUAUGCUCUCAACAGCCCCGAGGAAUUAUCUCAUGAUUGCAUUAGAGUGGAAAGACACGAAGCUGAGAGGCAAGCAGAACAGAAACUGUGAUAGAAAUUGUCCUAAGCUGAAGCACCUUGCGUGAACCUUGUGGAUGUCUGGUGCCUCUCCACUGCAUCUUGGUGCAGGCAGCACUGGCAUUCUCUGUCCAAAGCAGCUGCCCCUACCCUACACCUGGGUUUUUUGAGCAGCAAUGAGCAGCCAAAAACAAAACGAGCAAACAAAUGAGGCCGGGAGAGAGAGCAUUUGAGCCUACAGUUGGUUCGUGAGAGCAGAGGGGGAGGGGAGCUGGAUGAAUGGCCUCCUCAUGCUCUACCCCACCCCCCACGCCUGUCUGCAGGAAGUUCUGUGUGCCUUCUGCUGAAGAGUUGGUAGCCUGCCUUCAUUGUCAUUAUCGGUGUUCCUGGGGUGAUAAUGCCAGAUGUUUGAUCUGGAAAAGCAGUUGGCAGAUGCAGUCCAGGCAGCUUUUGCCUGUUUCCUAAGUGGUGGCAGUGGGGCAAAGGAGGAGGAAGCAGAGAUAGUGUGAAGAAGCCAACUAGUGGAGCCAGCAGCCCUCCGCUAAAGUAGAAUAACUAACUGUCAGCCUAUGGUCUGUAUUCACAUCCCAAGCUAAGAAGAGACAGUGGGGAGAGAGGUUUGCCCUGACUACACCCUCGGGUCAGGCACAUCUUCAGGUGCAGCCAGAUGGCUCUUAUUUGGUGCAAGGCUGAGAUCAUAAAGCUUUUAAGGUGUGAGCAUGCAUAUGGUGUGAGCAUGCGUAUGGUGUGAGCAUGCAUAUGGUGUGAGCAUGCAUAAGGUGUGGGCAUGCAUAAGGUGUGAGCAUGCAUAUGCAAAGCACAGGCAGAGGCAGGAAGAGGGAUUAAGCUUUUGGGGGUCUGGGGGAGGGGUUGGUUUUUCUGAGACAGGGUUUCUCUGUAUAGUCCUGGCUGUCCUGGUACUUACUCUUUAGACCAGGCUGGCCUUGAACUCACAGAGAUCCGUGUGAGUGCUGGGAUUGAAGGUGUGCACCACAGCUGCCCAGCAAAAAGAAUAUUUCAUGCAUAUGACUAUUUUGACCUGCUUUGGCCAAUAGAAAUGCAGAAGUAAAAGUGUGUUCCUUAGUCCAGAUCUUGGGAGACGUCAUACACAUGUGCUUGCUCUCUUGGAAUAGACAUUCCAUGAAUGGCUUACAGAGGCUCAGUGAUGCCCUUCAACCAGCUGAUGGGAUUGUACUAGCCAUCUGUCCAGACACUUGAAUUGGCCCAGCACAGAUCAGACAGACCUAUUCCCCAUCCCCCACCCCCACAGACCCAUGACCAACAACGAGGGCUUUUUGUUUUAAACUAGAAUUUAGAUUGAUUUGUUAUGUAACUCACAGCUAAUGGAUACAUUUGGUCUACCUGCUCCUGGUUCCUGAUAGCAACAGGUUGAGAAUUCUGCCAGCAUUGUCCCUGCCCACUGGAAAUGCUUGAGUGCGGGUAACUUCAUUGUCUGGGGGGCAGCUGCUUUCUGCAACGACUUCUUCUUUCGCAGAACCAAACCUGCUCAGAUCCCAGCCCAAACCUGACGCGUUGAACAGACGUAGGCAUAGACGAGGAGGGAAGGCCGACGAGAGUUGCCAGAGGACUUCGUGCUAGAAGCAGACAGGCAGUCACAGCACCACUUGACGCUUAGAGGAAAUGGCUUUUAGAAAGUCAAAGAGCAGAUCCAGAUCGACUCACAGGCAUCCGACCCCAGAGGACUCUCAGGCUUGUGAAUCACAGGACCUGGAAAGAGGACACAGGAAAGGAAGCAGGACCUUUCCUGUUGUCUCUGCCAUGGAAGAGCUGACAGCACGCUACGAAUGGUCAGGAACCUUCUCCAUCCCUAGUCCUCUAACCCAAAGCUGGGCGAAGUUUUUAAAAUGCUUUCUAAAAACUGUCUGGUGGCUUGCAUGAUUACAUUUU